UUCGGCCAAGAUUUUUUGUUAAUAAAUUGCUCAUGUAUGUAUGUAGAAGGGAAAGGAAAGGGGUCAUCACCACAUCAUUACAGCAUGUUGCUGCACUCACAAGGAAUGAUAUUACUUGCAUAUAUGUGUUAUGCCAACAUGUAAACAAUAUUGAACAAAAAUCAAGAUGAGGAGACAUCCUCACGAGUCUAAGAAGAAUAAUAUUACUUACUUAUCAACUGAAAGGAUAUUUAUUGAGUUACGACACACAAAUUCAAUCGAAGACACAAGACAACAAGCCUGAAAACAAAAGAACAAUGGUUAUUAAAUUCUUGAUUUUUAUAUGUAAUAGUUAUAUUAUAUUGUCAACCAAUUGGAAAAUAUAAUUUCAAAUCAAAUA
rnacentral:lncRNA from 1 species